rnacentral:rRNA from 1 species
GAUGAACGCUGGCGGCGUGCCUAAUACAUGCCAGUCGAGCGAACAGACGAGGAGCUUGCUCCUCUGACGUUAGCGGCGGACGGGUGAGUAACACGUGGAUAACCUACCUAUAAGACUGGGAUAACUUCGGGAAACCGGAGCUAAUACCGGAUAAUAUAUUGAACCGCAUGGUUCAAUAGUGAAAGACGGUUUUGCUGUCACUUGUAGAUGGAUCCGCGCCGCAUUAGCUAGUUGGUAAGGUAACGGCUUACCAAGGCAACGAUGCGUAGCCGACCUGAGAGGGUGAUCGGCCACACUGGAACUGAGACACGGUCCAGACUCCUACGGGAGGCAGCAGUAGGGAAUCUUCCGCAAUGGGCGAAAGCUUGACGGAGCAACGCCGCGUGAGUGAUGAAGGUCUUCGGAUCGUAAAACUCUGUUAUUAGGGAAGAACAAAUGUGUAAGUAACUAUGCACGUCUUGACGGUACCUAAUCAGAAAGCCACGGCUAACUACGUG